rfam:Sphaerobolus stellatus SS14 unplaced genomic scaffold SPHSTscaffold_25, whole genome shotgun sequence.
GGCACCGUGUCCGAGUGAUCCAAGGAGUGUGACUCAAGCGAAAGGCUUGCCCGACCUCAAAUUCCGGGUUUCUUAUCUGUGUAUGCAGGCAGGGGUUCGAAUCCCCUCGGUGUCA